ensembl:misc_RNA
GAGACCUACCAAGAACCAUGUGGUUGAUGUUAAUGACCAACUACAACAAAAUGGGCAGCCCCGGGCAGUGGUGAGAAUG